rnacentral:lncRNA from 1 species
GGAGAGACGCCCUUCCACCUCUGGGAGCCUCGGUCUGUUGGGGUCGCGGAGUUCGGGCGCGGCUCCGGGUACCCGAGACCAGCGGCGGCAACUUCUAACACGGGAGAUUUCCCGCCACCCCACCCCGCCGCCGCGAGUCCUCGCGGGGCGUGUUGCGUGCGGAGGUCAGGCUGCCACCCUCUGUAGUUCCCUAACCCCAAACUCGGAGACUUCUAAGAGCCACACCACCAAGGAACUUCUAGUCCUGGAGGUCAAUGGUGGGGCAAACCUCGCCUCAAUUCUUUGACCCCCUCGGGUCGUAAGCAGGGCUAAGAGGCUGCGAAGAAGAGGCCUGGCCAUGGGUGUAUGGGGGAAGAAACAUCUCAGGCUCACUCAUGCCCCCUCCCCGACCUUCUCCCACCUGCCGCCAUCCCCGCAGGCUGGGGAGCCAGGAAUCGACGGGAUUUCUCUGGCUGUCGUUUGCGCUGCAUUUAUCCGAAUACAUCCAGCUCGCAGGCAUCCUGCAAGAAACGGCUCCCGGCUCGCGUGUACGCCGACACCUCGGCCCAACGCAGGACUCGAGGUGGUUUCUAGUGCCCGGGUGGCUGCAAGUCUGCCCUCCGAGGGAGGCUGGACAAGCGGCGCCCCCAGGUCGAGCGGCCUCUCGCUGCCUGGCAGUGCCUGGCAGCCCCCACCUCUGCCAGUGCUUCGGAAACCCGCCUGGCCAGGUUCGCCCGCGGUGAAAAAUGAAAGCAAAUUCCCCAACAGAGGUAGCCGGAACUUUCCUCGACGAAGGCUCCCUCCUGCGCCUGUGUCUGGAGAACCCCCAGAGCGCUGCAAGUUAGCAAGAGAGAUUCGAUGGCGGCUCUGGAAGGCGCACGAAGGGUGGGGCGGGGGAGCAAAGAGGCCACUGGGUGACCCAGCCUGGUCCGGGGUGAAACGCUAGAGAAGGCGCCUCGCCUUCCUUAUUUCAAUGCAACUCCUCGGCCCCAGACGGUAAAAAUAGUUUCCAAGCUGCCGCGGACGCCCAGGAUGUGUUUGCAGAGAUCAAACUGGGGAGGAGGCAGCUUUGUAAAAGUUGCAGAAAGAUUAGCCGAGAAGCGUCCGCCCGGCGGGGCUCAAGAAAGCUUGGGGACAGCUCCAUGUUCCUUGGGGCGGAAUGGCCCAAGAAUUGGCCUGGGUAACCCCCUGCCCAGUUCUCUGUCCUCACUUCGAGCCAGUGCUUAAAUAACUUCCCGCCGCCUGCCCUGCAAACUUCCCGGCGCGGCGCCGUUGAGGCCAGGACACAGCAAAGGCUAGCAAAACCCCGCCGCGGCGCGCUCGGCCCCGGCCCUGAGAGGCUGCGCGGGUGGGAGGACCAGUGUGGUUUCUGCUCCCACUCGGCUGCCCAGACCCUCAAGACCGAUCCCCCAACUCCUGGGAGCGGGUGCUUCCCUCUGGGAGCCGAGAUCUUGCGGGGCCAGCGAGGGCGCAAAGUGCGCGCGCUGGCCCGCGCGGGGGCGGCCGCGCGUCUCUCCGCGGGGCCUGUCGCCAGGCCGGCCGCGGCGCGUGAGUGAUGAGGGCAGAGAAGGGCGCCCAUAAAUCGCGGGUGUCAGGGCGAAAAACUCUCUUUAUUGUCUGCGUGAUGGAUGGGCCCGGGGACGAGACACCAAAUACUUCGUAUCGCCUUUAAAUGGGAACACAUUUUCCGCGGCCAUAAUUCAUGUUUUUUAAAUAGAAAGUUUGAAAUGUUGCCUAUAUUUCACCAGCCCUGACAUAUUUAUGAAUCGCUCCCUGCAUGCAAAUAUCAUUACUUAAAGCGCCGGGGAGAGCGCGGGGGAGGGGAGGAGGCGCGGUUCCCGGGGCGUGGGGGUGGUGAACCGGGGAAAUAUCGGUGGAGGGGGGCCAUCUCCCUAAAGGGCAGAGGGUGAGGUGCGGUGAAUAGCCGUAUCCGGAAACCGAGCGUGCCCCGGGCUUCUUUCCCGCCGCCAGACCCCGCACAGCCGCCCUGGGACGUUUUUCGAGGCUUGGGACCUAAGACGGGUCCCCGGACCCUGCUGGGAAACCAGGGGGCGUUUUUCGUCCCUCUCUGAGGCCAUUAUCCAAGCUGAAACCACCUUUUAUAAGAAAAAAGUUUAAAGAAAAAAAAUUUAACAAACACAAAUAAUAAUAAUAACCCAACAUGUUUCGCGUUCUUUGC